rnacentral:tRNA from 1 species
GCGAGUAUUCUACCGUUGAACCAUGGAUGCUGUGUUUGUUGCAAAUCAUCAAUGAUCAAA